rnacentral:tRNA from 1 species
GGAGAGGUGGCCGAGUGGUUUAAGGCAGCGGUCUUGAAAACCGCCGUGGUAGCGAUACCACCCAGGGUUCGAAUCCCUGUCUCUCCGCCA